rnacentral:lncRNA from 1 species
GGAAGGAUGGAUUUGACAAACACAGUGAUUAGGAAUUUAUGAUCUUCGAACGUGUAGCAGAGAUGCAGGGAAGCAGUUAAGGGAACCAUCAAGAACAUAUCCCCAAGUCUCUAUGUGAAUCUAGGGAUGAAAACAAAACUGCUGACAGUAAUGACUUAUUUUCUGUUGUCUUCUUUUCUGGAUGACACAGCAAAGACGCUUUCACCAGAUGAGAUGGGAGAGUAGUCAUCUGGG